GUAAAAGAUGUGGGGAGAGAAAUCUUGGGGGGCAGAGGGCAUGGGGAGAAAAAGUGGCCAGCAAAGACGACAGACAGCCUAUAUUAAUUAUCAACUUUGUGUUUUCUUUCCCCCGGGCUCAGAUGGAUAGCUCCCAGUUGAUCCACUGUCGGGAGCUUGUGGCACAUCACCUUUCUACUCUGCAGUCUUCCCUGCCUCUAAAUUCCGUUUAUGUCUACCGUCCCCUCAAGCACACCCUGGUGACCUGUGACAAAGGAGUGUUCAGAUUACAUCCCUCCUCUGCCCCAGGCCCAGAUUUCUCCAAGGACAACAGCAAACCAGAAGUGCCAGUCAGAGGUACAGCAGCCUUCUACCAUCAUCUCCCAGCUGCCAAUGGGUGCAAGCAUACCUCUGCUAAACGCAAAGUAGAGGAAAUGGAAGUGGACGACUUCUAUGAUGGGAUCAAACGGCUCUAUAAUGAAGAUAAUGCUUCAGAAAAUGUGGGUUCUGUGUGUGGCACUGAUUUAUCAAGGCAAGAGGGACAUACUUCCCCUUGUCCACCUUUGCAGCCUGUUUCUGUCAUGUAGCUCCAGGUGUUACCUUCAAGUGCAACCUAAGGUAGACUACUGUGGGAAUGGGGACAUGGAAAACAGGAUAGGCUGUAUAAAGGUAUAUACCUUACCAGGCUGAUUCGAAAUGAGCCAGAAAAAAAAAAAAACCUGUUGACUUGUAUGGCUAAUUAUAAUUCAACAUUAUUUAAGCACUUAAAGACCAAAAAAAGUGUAAAAUUCAAGAUCAAAAAAUUUUUAACUAAAAAAUUUCUUCGUAGUUUGUCGGUUCCACCCUUUUCUCUGCUAAAAUGUAAUGUAGAUUACCCUGUGUCAGAAAUUCACGUUCAGUGUUUUUUUUUUUUUAAAGUUCCAAAAUUCCUAGCUAGCAGACCUUGUCCCAGAAUCCUGAUUUAAUUUUCCUCUUGCUUUUGCUUGCUGCUGCUUUGAAUACUAAAUGAAUUUUAUGCAUGUUGACCUAUAGCCUGACUUCCACUGAUGAGGAAACCCUGAAAAUUUAUUUUUAGCAAUUUAGUGAACAAAUUAUUUCAGCGACAGCCAUGUUUAUAAUCCAUGAUUCAAAUUCAACUUAAUCUGAAAAAGGUACUUCAGAAUCGCCUGUGAAUCAGAGUUGGUAACAGAAGAAUUAUUCCCAUUACCAUGUUGAUUUUUGUUUGUCUCCUUUCAAUUUCUAGAGUUUGGAAACAAAAUUAAUAUUUUCAUUUUUAUCUUAAAUUGAAGCUUAAAAGCGGCAUGUGAUUAGGACACUCUUAAGAUUUGUUGGAAGCAUUUUUGACAUUUGUAUAAUAGAAUUUGUGAUAAAGUUAAUAUACCCAGGUGCUCACCAAAGAAACAUGUAACAACUAAAAUUAGAUUUUAAAAAAACUGUUCAGUUCACUCAUUUAUAAUCAGUAGGAGAGACUGUCUAGAUGUUGGGGCAGCUCUAUGAUUUGGGUCUGUAACAUGUAAUAACUGAAUUCAGUACCCUAGUUUUAUGUUAAGCUAUUAGGAUUUACUUGAUAAAAGUUAAUCCCCCUGCCUCCCCAGCCUACCUGUAUUCUCUUCAUGACUUCUGGGUCCUGAGCUCCCUGUGCAGCCUGAAGAAGGUACUGCAGUCAGAACCAUGUACUGAUUGGUAGCAAUAAAAGUUGUCCUUAACCUUUU